rnacentral:rRNA from 1 species
UACGGGGGGAGCAAGCGUUGUUCGGAUUUACUGGGCGUAAAGGGCGCGUAGGCGGCGUGACAAGUCACUUGUGAAAUCUCCGGGCUUAACUCGGAACGGUCAAGUGAUACUGUCGUGCUAGAGUACAGAAGGGGCAACUGGAAUUCUCGGUGUAGCGGUGAAAUGCGUAGAUAUCGAGAGGAACACCUGCGGCGAAGGCGACUUCUUGGCCUGUUCUUGACGCUGAGGCGCGAAAGCUGGGGGAGCAAACGGG